rnacentral:rRNA from 1 species
GAGAUUUCCCAACUUCGGUUAUAAGAUCCCUCAAAGAUGAUGAGGUGAAUAGGUUCGAGGUGGAAGCGUGGCGACACGUGGAGCUGACGAAUACUAAUCGAUCGAAGACUUAAUCAA